rnacentral:misc_RNA from 1 species
UCUCCGUAGGUGAACCUGCGGAAGGAUCAUUAAAGUUAUAGUCCCCCGGCCCCUCCGGGCUGGGGUCUUCUAUACCACCCUUUGUUUAUUACACCUUUGUUGCUUUGGCAGGCCUGCCCUCGGGCUGCUGGCUCCGGCCGGCUCGUGCCUGCCAGAGGACCUAAACUCUGUUUGUAUAUGAAGUCUGAGUACUAUAUAAUAGUUAAAACUUUCAACAACGGAUCUCUUGGUUCUG